rnacentral:rRNA from 1 species
AUUGAACGCUGGCGGCAGGCCUAACACAUGCAAGUCGAGCGGAAACAGGAAGAUGGUUCCUUCUUUGCGGGCGGGUCGGGUGCGUGAGGGUAAGGUCUGUGACAGUGCGUGAGGGAUGGGGUAAGCUACUGGAAACGGAUACUACAACCGCAUAACGGGGGAAGACCAAGGAUCGGGAGCUUCGGGCCUCUUGCCUGCGGCUGGGCCCAGGUCGGAAUAGCUAGUUGGUAGGGCAAAGGCCUACCAAGGCGAGGAUCCCGAGCUGGUCUGAGAGGAGGAACAGGCACACUGGAACUGAGACACGGUCCAGACUCCUACGGGAGGCAGCAGGGGGGAAUAUUGGACAAUGGGCGAAAGCCUGAUCGAGCCAUGCCGCGUGUGUGAAGAAGGUCUUCGGAUUUUAAAACUCUUUUAGUCGGGAAGAAGGGCAGUAAAGUUAAACCUUGCUGUCUUGACGGUACCAACAAAAAAAGCAACGGCUAACUUCGUG